GCCCCCUGGCAGUGGGCAAAGAGACACCUUGUUAGUGGUGUUGUUCUUAUAUCAGUCAGGGGUGGGGCAGAUGGCAGCCCUUUGCUCAUCCUAGCUUGAUGCUUGGCUUGGUGAACAAAGCUAUUCCAUGCCUGGGACUCAUAA